rnacentral:rRNA from 1 species
AUUGAACGCUGGCGGCAUGCUUUACACAUGCAAGUCGAACGGCAGCGCGGGCUUCGGCCUGGCGGCGAGUGGCGAACGGGUGAGUAAUACAUCGGAACGUGCCCAGUAGUGGGGGAUAGCUCGGCGAAAGCCGGAUUAAUACCGCAUACGACCUGAGGGUGAAAGCGGGGGAUCUUCGGACCUCGCGCUAUUGGAGCGGCCGAUGGCAGAUUAGCUAGUUGGUGGGGUAAAGGCCUACCAAGGCGACGAUCUGUAGCUGGUCUGAGAGGACGACCAGCCACCCUGGGACUGAGACACGGCCCAUACUCCUACGGGAGGCAGCAGUGGGGAAUUUUGGACAAUGGGCGAAAGCCUGAUCCAGCAAUGCCGCGUGUGUGAUGAAGGCCUUCGGGUUGUAAAGCACUUUUGGCGGGAACGAAAAGGACUGUGCCAAUACCACGGUUCGAUGACGGUACCCGCAGAAUAGGCACCGGCUAACUACGUG